rnacentral:rRNA from 1 species
CGCGCUCGGUGAGUAUAAGGAGCCUAGGAGAAGAGAGAAAAGAGAGGGAAUAGAGUAGGUACGUCGGUUUAGAGAGGAGGUGUGCGAGUGGAAGAGGAGAAGAGGGGUCGUCAACAGCACUGGUGAUGGCGAUGCCACGGCUGGCCGGUACCGGAGGCGGGUGGAAACGUGCAGAAAGGAAAGCCACGGCCACCGACAGCGGGUGGAGUGGGAAAGGGAGACUGCUUCUUUGUACUAACGUUCUUCGACGUUGGUACCGGCAUCUUUCAACCUUGGCGCUGGCGCCUACGACGUUGCCGCUGUCAUCACUCAACCUUGACCACUGGUGAGCGUGAUCUUGACAGUGGAGUCCUACGAUGUUGCUACUGAUGCCGCUCGACCUUGGUACGGUGCUCUACAACGCAUCCACCGGGUGCGCUGGUGGUUACAACGUUGGCCGCUCCACUCAACGACCCUGGUCGAUGUGCAAAAGGACUUAGCCAUGAACCAGAACUACGUAUCCGUAAUGUACACUACAACUACGAUGUUGGCCGCCGCCUCAACGAUCCUAGCUGUUGUACUAAAAAACACAACCACUGGCGACCACGAUAACUACACCCGCUGCUGUUCCUGUCGUACCUGGCUCCGCUCUGCUGCUGUUGUUGUCCCUGGUCGCCGCCGCCACGCUCCCGUCGCUCUACCGCUACGAAGCUCCCGUCAGCGGAACGGACAGGUACCGCCGUUGGCCGCCUUUACCCGGCGUAGUUCGAUUCGGGUUCACUCGCGGAGUGGCUCCCAGGCCCCGGGUUCGGUACGCAGCAGCAGAAGGUGCGGCGGCAGGAAGGAGGCGAAGAAGGCGUCACUGGAGAGCGCGCGGCCUCGCCCACCUCACCUAGUCGAGAUCUAUCCAGCUCGUCUAGCUACCACCGGCCGCUCGUGGCCGCGGCCGCCUGCCGCAACACCUCGUCCUCCUGGGUCGCGUCGCAGCCGCCGCACCACCACCUGUCGCGCGCGCCGCCCCUGUCCCGCCGUCCGCCGGCACCGGCGAGCCCGAGUCCAUUCUUGUCGGAGAUGACAUGUUAUACAUGAUCUGACUCUUAUAAAUCAGGGUGUAGUGACCCCCACUUCCCCCCCUUAUAUUUACAACGACGCGUCGUCGUCGGGUUCAUGACAAGAACCAUCUUGGUGUCAAAUGAGAAAUUUGAAUCUUAAUGGUUGUUUUAAAACGAGAAAUUUGAAUCUUAAUGGUUGUUGUAGAACUGGACGUCCAAGAAAACAAUUGUUAAACAUCUUAAACUCUACUGGUGGCAAUGAGACGAACCUUACUAUAACAAGGUGUCAUCCUGUAGCAAAUGAAGACAGAUAUGUAUCCACGAGAACUAAAAAAAAUUGUACCUCAUCUACAAGGAACAUCUUAAAACAAACUACGUUACUUACUGAGACCAUCGCAGAGCCUGUACUAAACUCUAGUGUCUAGUCCUAAGAGUACCGCGACAGGCACUGAACGUACUGGGUCAUGAAAACAAAACAGUAGCUGGGCCAUGGAAGAGUACCUACAGUCUUUAAUAAUCCAGGGAAACUUAACAAGACUAGUACAUACAACGGUGUAGGUCCUGGAGACUACUAAAAAGUUAACCUCGGAAGGCCACAAUGGAUAACACGACAAGUAUCUGAACCUUCAACUUAUAACGUUACGACCAUGUAACGUCACGUACGUUCUUUUGAGACAAAGUGUAUGGUUCAAAAAUAGAACAGUAAAAGAAUGGCUAACUUAGAAUGAUUACACCGAUAACAGAUAGUAUUAACGUCGUCGGGAGUGACGUCAAAGCGUGGUUUAAUGGUUGAUCACGGAUUUACCCAACCAUCUUAAACAUCUACUAUCCACACCAUCGUGACAUAGACAAUGAGUAAACGAUAAACCGUCUAACCGUAAGGAAAAAGAUAAAUGUACAAAUGGAAAUGUUUUCAUACUGGAAAUUCAACUACUUUAGGAUACAAAAGUCGACUCUACGCACGUGCACUAACCAUAUUAUAAUAAUGUACGGUAUAUGUCGUACAUACCGAAGAAGUCUUGAAACAAUAACCAAUUGUACAAGUCUAUGGUAGAAGUCCGUGACUCAGUUAUUCCCGCACCAUUAAAAUGACAAAAUCCGUGACUUCCACCGACCGAACUUUUAAAAUUAGAAGUCAGACCCUAAUCAGCACCGUCAAUGUAACUAUCGAGUGACCGUUACGUGACAUGUGCACUUUCUUCAACAACCUAAUACAACACUACGAUGUUUACCGAGAGACCAAUCACGACCUAUGUCACCACUGUAAUUCCAAACUACUAUGACAACGUGACAUCAAGUUAAUGUCGAAUAAAAUAAAAAAGUUUUUUAUAACGUCAAACAAAAUCACGGACAAAUCAUUCACGUAUAUGAAAUACCUUACGAUUACAGUGAAGUAAAGUAGAAGGUACGAGAAUAGGUAACCAUUUUUAAUACAAGGAGAAGACUACGACGUUGGUUAUUAUGUACCUCAUAACGUGUGGGUCGA